UCUGGGCCCGGGUAAACUGUCAGCGGGGCCCGCAGUCUGACGAACACACAGGGGAAUGGUUGUAGUGUAGACCACCGCCUCGAGCGGCGCCGGCGAUCAGAUCCGGUGCUUCUCGAUCCGAGCGCUCCUGGUGUGGCGGAGGUCAUGUCGGCGGCUGCGGCGGCGGGGUGGUGGGCCGGCCACCGCAUACGCGUGCUCCUCCCGGCUCUCUUCCUCGCCCCCGUCCUCUUCUUCGUCCUCGCCUCGCCUCGCUCCUCCCCGUCCUUCUUCGCGCCGCCUGUCUCCAGGGAGCACUUGCCGUCGGGGUCGCGGGUCAUCUGGGCGCAGCGGCGGGCGGUGGAGUGGCGGCCGUGCGGGUGGUGGCAGCGGAAGGCAAUGCCCGCUCCGGGGUCGAGGAACGGCUACAUCCGGAUAGAUUGCUACGGCGGGCUCAACCAGCUGCGGCGUGAUCUAUGUGAUGGAAUUGCGGUUGCGCGUCUUUUGAACGCGACAAUGGUUCUGCCCAAGUUUGAGGUUGCUGCAUACUGGAAUGAGUCUAGUGGUUUUGCAGAUGUUUUUGAUGUUGAUUACUUCAUUGAGCAGACUAGAGGUUAUGUGGAAGUGGUGAAGGACAUGCCUGAGGAGAUAGCGCUGAAAGAGCCAUUUAAGGUUGAUUGCCGAAAGCGGAAAGGUCAUUUUGAUUAUGUGGAAUCGGUGCUUCCGACUCUUUUGGAGCAUCGGUAUAUUUCGCUGACACCUGCCGUGAGCCAAAGAAGAGAUAGAAAUCCUUCCUAUGCGAAAGCAUCUUAUUGCCAAGGUUGCUACAAUGCACUCCGGUUGAAUAAAAAGGUGGAAGCCAAAGCUAUUGAGCUCCUUCAAGUCAUACCAAAACCUUUCUUAUCCCUUCAUCUUAGAUUUGAACCAGACAUGGUUGCCUACACUCGAUGUGCAUACAAUGGCCUUUCUUCCGAUUCACUGGGUGCAAUUGAAGCUGCACGUGGGGAGGAUAGAAAAGUAUUGAUAGGCGAUGAUGCUCGUCUGUGGAGGAACCGUGGAAAGUGCCCUCUAACACCUGGUGAAACAGCAUUUAUCCUCCAAGCGCUAGGGAUUCCUACAGAGACAAACAUUUACUUAGCCGCUGGCGAUGGGCUAAUGGAACUUGAGGGCUUUACUUCGGUCUACAAAAAUAUGUAUACUAAAUCUUCUCUCCUGGCUCAUGAAGAUUUUGAGAGGAUGCAUGGCAACACAAAAGCUGCUCUCGACUACUAUGUUUCAGUCAACAGUGACGCUUAUGUUGCGACGUUCUUUGGAAAUAUGGAUAAGAUGGUAACUGCAAUGAGAACAAUGCAAGGGCUCCAGAAGACCUUGGUCUUGAGCAGGAGGGCCUUUGCAAACUACACUGCUGCUGGACUGGCAGGAGACCAACUAUCUAAGGCCAUGUGGGAUGCUCAUCGAGCAGACUAUGUCAUGGGGAGGGGAUCAGCUUUGCCCGAGCAUUGCUUCUGUGAGUUCAAGUUGUAGCACAGAUGAGCCCAUAUAACACAAGAUCUACCCUACACAACCAACUUUUGAUGAGCAGCAACUACAUCAUGUUGAAUGUGUAAACAUGGUUGAAUUGCUACUGCAACGAGAGUAAUGCCCAGGCUUCUCGGAGGACAUUGUUCUUGGCCAGAUUGGACUUCGUAAGCUGCACGGCAUCUUGGUUCAGACAAAACUGUGACCCAUGCAGUGAUGGAUCAUGCUCUGUGCUUCUCCUGGAUACUUUUUUCGAAGGAGAAUCAGAUUCCAACAACUGUCCAUCUUGAUCGUUUUAGUCAAUGAGAGAUAUGUAUAACAAGCAACUCCUAGAGGCAUGCAUGAUGCAUUCCAUAUCAAUGGGUUGAGAGUGCAUCAAUCAUCCACUGGCGAUCUAAAUAUUAAACAAGGCUUCCAAUCGUCACACUCGCCGUCACUCUUUGCGUGAGGCACUAAUCUAUGUGACUAGUGGUUUGUCCCCAAUUUUAAGUCAUGGACGUUAAGCUUAGAUUAAUUGGUGAAUGAGCAUGUGGGCUUUAGACCAGCACUGGAAUGCUGGGGUAGAUGACCUGGCAGUUCAGUUGUUCAUUCAUUCAGUUAGGCAGUUCAAACAAUAGGUGGAAGUACUGCCCCCUUCAUUCAGUUAUAGCCAAAGUGCUAAAUCCUACUCUAUUUUUUCCUUCCUUUUAGAGGGCUACAUCUGUUUGUUUUUUCGCUUGUCAUUUUGGACAUCAAUACCUUAGUAUAUGCAUACUUCCUUCCGGUUUA